rnacentral:rRNA from 1 species
UACAGAGGUCCCAAGCGUUGUUCGGAUUCAUUGGGCGUAAAGGGUGCGUAGGCGGCGCGGUAAGUCGGGUGUGAAAUCUCGGAGCUUAACUCCGAAACUGCAUUCGAUACUGCCGUGCUUGAGGACUGGAGAGGAGACUGGAAUUUACGGUGUAGCGGUGAAAUGCGUAGAUAUCGUAAGGAAGACCAGUGCGAAGGCGGGUCUCUGGACAGUUCCUGACGCUGAGGCACGAAGGCCAGGGAGCAAACGGG